rnacentral:rRNA from 1 species
AUUGAACGCUGGCGGCAGGCCUAACACAUGCAAGUCGAACGGUAACAGGAAGAAGCUUGCUUCUUUGCUGACGAGUGGCGGACGGGUGAGGAAUGUCUGGGAAACUGCCUGAUGGAGGGGGAUAACUACUGGAAACGGUAGCUAAUACCGCAUAACGUCGCAAGACCAAAGAGGGGGACCUUCGGGCCUCUUGCCAUCGGAUGUGCCCAGAUGGGAUUAGCUAGUAGGUGGGGUAACGGCUCACCUAGGCGACGAUCCCUAGCUGGUCUGAGAGGAUGACCAGCCACACUGGAACUGAGACACGGUCCAGACUCCUACGGGAGGCAGCAGUGGGGAAUAUUGCACAAUGGGCGCAAGCCUGAUGCAGCCAUGCCGCGUGUAUGAAGAAGGCCUUCGGGUUGUAAAGUACUUUCAGCGGGGAGGAAGGGAGUAAAGUUAAUACCUUUGCUCAUCGACGUUACCCGCAGAAGAAGCACCGGCUAACUCCGUG